rnacentral:rRNA from 1 species
UACGGAGGGUGCGAGCGUUGUCCGGAAUCACUGGGCGUAAAGGGCGCGUAGGCGGCGCGGUAAGCGUGCGGUGAAAGCCCGGGGCUCAACCCCGGGUCGGCCGUGCGGACUGCCGGGCUCGAGCACUGUAGAGGCGGGUGGAAUUCCGGGUGUAGCGGUGGAAUGCGUAGAGAUCCGGAGGAACAUCAGUGGCGAAGGCGGCCAUCUGGGACAACACUGACGCUGAAGCACGAAAGCGUGGGGAGCAAACAGG